ensembl:lncRNA
GGCUGCUGCAGCUCUGAUCUGCAGGUGAACACAUCUGCUCAAGGAACACAUCUGGAACAACAAGGACCCCAAAUAUUUUUUUGUCGAGCUCGUUUGGAUUCCGGACCUCGUUGAGUCAACCGGCGCUCGGUGAGGUGCGUCGGAGUCUGCAGUGUGUCUCCCCCCCUCCCUCCCUCCCUCCCGUCCUGCCUCCCCCUCCUCUCGGCUCAGCAGCGCUUCGUCGCGGCUUCUCUCUCGUGCCCUGCGCGCUCCGGACUCCGGUAUUCAAACUUUCCUCAGAGGAGAGACGGACGGUUCAACGUCCCGCAGGUGGAGCAAAACUAACGACUCUAACCGACCCGGUUCCGUUGUUUGGACCCUGACGUGGGAUUCGUUACAUGCCUUCUGGCUCCUGCGCGGUGCGGGACGCGGUCUCGGUGCGCACCGGACCAAAAAUGGACCGCGGAACGCGUCCGCUCUGGUUCCGUGGCGAUAAGACCAACUGAAAGGAAUCCGGCACCGAAGAGGACCGACCGGAGCACCGCGCACGUUCCCUUCUCAUCUUCUCCUCGAGUCCACGCGCCAGCCAGCGAGACGUCAGUGGAGACUCGAGGACACGGACAUACUGUAGCGGACACCCAAGAAGGACGUAGCUUCGGGGGGGACAGACGUCACAAACCGCCAGGACGCGCGAGGAACAGUCAGACGUGCACGCAGACCAAAAGCCCCGUCGGAUGUUUCUGAGGCGGCUCUGACGGAGGAGGCCUUUUUUCCAGCUGAAGACCGGGUGA